UCCCGUUGAUCCUGCGGGAGAAUGCUGCUAUUGGAAUUCGAUUUAGCCAUGCAAGUCAAGGGGAUCCUUGUGAUCACCGGCGAAAUGCUCAGUAACACGUCGAUAAUCUGCCCUUAGGUCUGGAAUAACCUCGGAAACCUGAGGCUAAGACCGGAUAUGGAAUAAUUUCUGGAAUGAUUUUUUCCUGAAAAGUAAUGCCUAAGGAUGAGUCGGCGGCAGAUUAGAUUGUUGGUGGGGUAAAGGCCCACCAAGUCCGAGAUCUGUAGGGGCCUUGAGAGAGGUAGCCCCGAGAAGGGUACUGAGAUACUGACCCUAGCCCUACGGGGUGCAGCAGGCGCGAAACCUUUACAAUGCACGAAAGUGUGAUAAGGGGAUUCCAAGUGCUUAUACACUGUAUAGGCUUUUGCCAAGAGUAAAUAUCUUGGCGAAUAAGUGGUGGGCAAGACUGGUGCCAGCCGCCGCGGUAACACCAGCGCCACAAGUGGGAUUCAGAUUUAUUGGGCCUAAAGCGUCCGUAGCCGGUUAUAUAAAUCCUUUGUGAAAUUGUUGGGCUCAACCUAACAACGUGCAUAGGACACUGUAUAACUAGGGACCGGGAGGAGUGUGAGGUAUUCCUAGGGGAGCGGUAAAAUGUUAUAAUCCUUGGAGGACCACCUAUGGCGAAGGCAUCACACUAGAACGGAUCCGACGGUGAGGGACGAAAGCCAGGGGAGCGAUCCGGAUUAGAUACCCGAGUAGUCCUGGCCGUAAACUCUGUGAAUUAGGUGUUGCACAUUCUCUGUGAAUGUGCAGUAUCGUAGCGAAGGCGUUAAAUUCACCGCCUGGGGAGUACGGUCGCAAGGCUGAAACUUAAAGGAAUUGGCGGGGGAGCACUACAAGGGGUGCGGCGUGCGGUUUAAUUGAAUUCAACGCCGGAAAUCUCACCAAGGGCGACAGCAGUAUGAAGGUCAGAUUAAAGGUCUUACCUGACGCGCUGAGAGGUGGUGCAUGGCCGCCGUCAGCUCGUGCCGUAAGGUGUCCAGUUAAGUCUGGCAACGAGCGAGACCUGUGUCUACUAUUGCUAAUGUUCUUGUUUGAGAACAUGCACAAAGUGGAGACUGCCUUGGAAACAAGGAGGAAGGUGCAGGCAACGGUAGGUCUGUAUGCCCCGAAUCCCUUGGGCUACACGCGCGCAACAAUGGUUGGGACAAUGGGAUGCAACUCCGAGAGGAGAAGCUAAACCUCUAAACCCAAUCUUAGUACAGAUUGAGCUUUGAAACCCAGGCUCAUGACGACGGAAUCCCUAGUAAUCAGACGUCAUUAUCGUCUGGUGAAUAUGUCCCUGCUCCUUGCACACACCGCCCGUCAAACCACUCGAGUUGGGUUUAGGUGAGGUCCGUUUUUUUGAGCGGCACGAAUCUAAGCUUAGCGAGAUGGGUUAAGUCGUCACAAGGUAACCGUAGGGGAACCUGCGGUUG
rnacentral:rRNA from 1 species